rnacentral:lncRNA from 1 species
GUUGAGUUAGCAGCAGGGAGGAGGUGGGCAAGGAUGGGCUGUGGGCACAGCGGGUGCUGACGGCGGAUUGGUGUACAUUUCGCCCCCCAGCUGUGCUGCGUCACCGCCCACAUCUCCUGCUGGGGGCUGCGCGCUGUGACAGCGCAGGGAGCUCCAUGGGCGGAGCGCUGCACGCAGAGCCCCAGCUCAGGUGUGAGGGGUCAGCGCUCACUGAGCCCCGUGAGGGGCUGCGAUGCGGCCCCAGCCUAUUUGUAGACAUUGCAAAUAAAGCUGACAGCACUGACAGAGAACAACCUGAGGACACCGCCUGCAGGGAGACCCCACCGCAGCUGCAGGCUCUGAAGUUGUUCAAUAAAUUCCUGGAGGCGGCUCGAGGAAGAAGAACAAGAUUUGCGUAUGAGGACAGGAGGACUUUUCUAAGUGACUGCGACUACAUGAGGAGGACGAUGCCCCAUUUCCUGCCAUCUCUGCCCUGUGUUGGCUCCUCCCGUCCGGCCAAAUUGCAGCCAUCCCUCACUCCCCGGGCCCUGGGACAGGGAGAUGGAGGGCAGAGUCACGCGUUGUUAACCCCCACUUUCCUGCGCUGCCGGUGAUUCAUGAGACACGAAGGUUGGAGGAGAGCGCUCAGAUCAGCACCGCCAGCCCAUCCCCGGCCGUGCACACUGCCCACGUCCCGCAGCGUCACUCGGAAGGUUUCCUUUUUGUUCCAUGGAUCCGUUCAGUUCCCUGCUUUGUUUUUAAAGAGAAAAAAAAAAGAGAAAAUCCUGUCAUUAAUAAAUAAAUAAAUAACAAGAAUAAAAAGCCUCCUGGAAACUCUGCAGCAUUCUGCAAAAAUGACUGUGAAAUUUAUGGAACGACAGCUAAAUUGAAUGAGAUUAGGAAGAAAAUGGCCUGUCUAUUUAUGUGAAGAGUUUUCAGAGUUAUCAUAAUUAAUUACAACAAACAUUUCGUAAUGCACAUUAAAUGGAGGCUGGAGGCUCG